rnacentral:rRNA from 1 species
AGAGUGAACGCUGGCGGCAGGCCUAAUACAUGCAAGUCGAACGGCAGCACGGCAGAGCUUGCUCUGUGGGUGGCGAGUGGCGGACGGGUGAGGAAUACAUGGGAAUCUGCCCAGUCGUGGGGGAUAACGUAGGGAAACUUACGCUAAUACCGCAUGCGCCCUUCGGGGGAAAGCCGGGGACCUUCGGGCCUGGCGCGAUUGGAUGAGCCCAUGUCGGAUUAGCUAGUUGCGGGUAACGCCCACAAGGCGACGAUCCGUAGCUGGUCUGGAGAGGAUGAUCAGCCACACUGGAACUGAGACACGGUCCAGACUCCUACGGGAGCAGCAGUAGGGAAUAUGGACAAUGGGCGCAAGCCUGAUCCAGCCAUGCCGCGUGAGUGAAGAAGGCCUUGGUGUAAAGCUCUUUGCCGAAAGAAAGUCUUCGGACAACGUACCCGAGUCCGUAGACCGGUACGAA